GACGAACGCUGGCGGCGUGCUUAACACAUGCAAGUCGAACGGAAAGGCCCUGCUUUUGUGGGGGUCUCGAGUGGCGAACGGGUGAGUAACACGUGAGUAACCUGCCCUUGACUUUGGGAUAACUUCAGGAAACUGGGGCUAAUACCGGAUAGGAGCUCCUGAUGCAUGGGGGGGGUUGGAAAGUUUCGGCGGUUGGGGAUGGACUCGGGGGUUAUCAGCUUGUUGGUGGGGGAGUGGCUUACCAAGGCUGUGCCGGGUAGCCGGCCUGAGAGGGUGGCCGGCGACAAUGGGACUGCGAUACGGACCAGAAUCCUACGGGAGGCAGCAGUGGGGAAUAUUGCACAAUGGGCGGAAGCCUGAUGCAGCAACUCCGCGUGCGUGAUGAUGGCCUUUGGGUUGAAAACCGCUUUCGCCUGUGCUGAAGCGUGAGUGACGGUAAUGGGUAAAGAAGCACCGGCUAACUACGUG
rnacentral:rRNA from 1 species